rnacentral:rRNA from 1 species
GACGAACGCUGGCGGUGUGCUUAAUACAUGCAAGUCGAACGAAGAGGCCCUUUCGGGGGUACGUUCAGUGGCGGACGGCUGAGUAAUACAUAGGUAACGUGCCCUUUACUGGGGGAUAACACCGGGAAACGUGUGCUAAUACCGCAUAAGUGCCAGGUUGCAAUACCUGUCAUUAAAGAAUUUCGGUAAAGGAUCGGCCUGUGUCGGAUUAGCUUGUUGGUAGGGGUAAUGGCCUACCAAGGCGACGACCGUUAGUUGGUCUGAGAGGAUGACCA